AACUGUACGCCCCUCAGCUCUCUGUAGAUGGUUGUCCGGUUCUUCUUUCAUGCUAAGCAUAAUGCUUAAUCAUGGGGGAGGUUUCACUACACUUCAUGACAAGCAUCAACGAGACGGUAAAUUUUUCUUAUACCUUCUCUUUUCCAUCUCUUUCUAAAUGCCUGUAUAUAUAUAAGCCUUCAACCUUUGACUUGGUGCAACCUUUGUGUGAUAAUAACAUGGCUAUUAGGAGGACAACCUAGAUUUGUUUUUAUUUUUGAUAAAUAGACAUGACCAUGUGCUCACCUUGAUGUUUUAUAUUGCCUUUGCUUAUGGAAAAAUGAUGAAAGUUGCCACUUUAUUUUACCCACACGAUGUUGUAUAUGGCUUGACUAAUUGCUCUCUAUAAUAUGAUCUUCAAUUGAUUUAAAUAUCGACUCUUUUAAUUGUGGAGGUUAAAUGACUAUUCUAGACCCACAUUCAUCCAGUUGCUCUUUGAUUUAAGUUUGCUGAUGCCCUGAUAACUUGUCUUAUUUUUAUUGAAACUUAAUUUUUACGCUAUCUACAUUCGUGAAUCUCUUGCAAAGUUCUACCCUACCAAAGCCUAUAUACAUGCAUGCCCCUUUCAUGAUGAAACCUUUAGAUUGCAAACUUAUAUUUUGAUGAGUUGGAUUAGGAUUGAUUUAUGUGGUAUGAGACUUAGAAGCUGGCCAUUCCUUUUGUGUUACCUUUGUUUUGCUAGCCUAUACUAUUCAUGCAUUGUGAUUUUCUUCAUUGAAAAAUUUGCAAAUCUCGCUGGAUAUCCACCUAAACCCAUAUAUCUUUUUGUGAUUAUCUUCCUUGUCCACAACCUAUUAAGAUGAGUAUGAUUAAAAUUUUUGGAGAUCGUUUCUAUACCUACCAGCAGCAAAUUUUUACUCACUUUUCAUGCUCGAGAACGAGCAUCGUUCAAGCAUGGGGGGAGAGUCAGUGCACUAUCUAUCCCUAACAACUGCUGGUUGGAUCAAGAUUUGUUAUGCUAGAAUUUGAGGAGAAAAGAAAGAACAAAGAAAGAAGAAGAAGAUAAAAAAGGAAAAAUAAUAAGGAAGAAACAGAAUGAAAAAAAGAGAAAGAAGGAAGAAAAGAAAUAACUAAAUAAAGAAAGAAUAAGCUCCUCAUCUUCUGAAGCAUCAUGAUUGGCUCGACAAGGUUACCAUUGUUAUAUAAACUUAUCAUUUUCCAAUCAUAUGCAAUCCGAUAACGAGAACUUCAUUUGUGCCUCGGGAUCAUUCAUUUGCCACUUGCACAUGUCCACCUAUCUAAAUGUGUGUGUUCCAUCCCUCUUCCUCUCCAACAUUUAUUUUUUAUGAUCUUUUUAACAAGUCUCAGUAAUUCCAAUAGAUCUCUCUCUUAAUUUGACAAUAUUUCAGAUAUAAUAUUUUGCUAGGAUUGUUUUUACCUACCAAGCUCCACAUAAGCCUUCCACUUUCAUAUAUGAGUAGAAUAGGUUGAAAAUAAUCUACUAUAGACUUGAGUGACUUGAUGAGAUGAGUGUUUCCAUGAAUUUUUGCAAGAGAAUCUCAAUUAUGUUGGAUAUGCAUCGUUUUGAAAAGCUCUUCAUGAUGAAAUAAGGUAAGGGUCUAAAGUUCACUUAAGUUUGAAGAGCAUUGCAUUUAUUUUAUUGUGGCUUGUUCUUUAUUGCUAGUCUAUCUUCCGUAAUGAAAAAGAAGGCAGUCACAACUUGAACUUUAAUGCUAAACACUUGAGAGAUAGCAAUAUAUCUUGUCAUGUAUAACUAAGUGUAGGGAUGAUAUUGGAAGGCAACACUAAUUUCUUUUAAGCAAGAAUUGACUUACUCAAGGACAAGCAAAGUGUAAGCAUGGGGGGAUUGUUGACGCUCGUUAUUGACAUAUUUUUAGUGCCAUUUAACUAGUGUUUUCAGGCAUAUUUUUAAACUAACCCACCACUUGGCACCUGAAAUAACCCCAUAUUCGUAUAUGUGUUAUGUUUUGGACCACAUUGCAAAAUCACAUGAAAUAGACAUAAAUGAAGGAUUUUUCUACAAGUUGGACUUAAGCCUGGACUUUGGAUAUUGGAAGGCCCAAACACGAACAUUGAACUGCAGGCCUACAUGAGUAGCUGAAACUUGCAUGAGUGAUACCUUUCUCAUUCGAACUUCGAUUAGAGUGAAUUUAUAGGGAAAAUUGCAUGUCUCAAAAAGAUCUACAACUUUCGUAUGAAGCGCUCAGGCAUUGGAGGCUUAUAAGGGGUGGGCCAAUCGACCUAGCUCAUUUUUGGCUCUGAUUGAUGUCCCCUUUCACCAGGAGGAAGCCCACGAUGUUCCUAGGGUUUUUUUUCCAGAUACUUGGCCUCGAAGGAACCCUAACCGAUGCCACCAACUAUAAAUAUCCAAGACAUUCAACAAGGAGGGGGAUCCCGAUAAGUUUAGACCUAGCCGCUGCCGUCACAAGAUGAAAAAUAGGGAUUAGAUCAGAUCACCGUGACGACCCACGCUGGCGGAAGUCAGGAGGCGUGAAGAAGUGCUUAGGCCGAUCGGCCUGAGGAACCCUAGGUUGAUCAACCCAAGGGGUUCCUGCUCCCUCUCGCCACCAUCUUCGGUGACGACGUUCUCCAGAGUCUCCUUCACCCCUUUGUGCAUUAAUCUCUGUAAGAUGAUGGGGGUAAAACCUCUGUUCAUCUUUAGGAUUGUUUGGAUCCUUGAUAUGUAACUACUACAUGUACAUUAUGUUUAAAUGUGACGAGUUCCUAUACCAGGGGUACCCCGGGGAAAGGAUUUAAGACAACAAGAUGCAAAAAGGCCAAGGGCCCAACAGCAAGAAGCGUAUUGGAGGCGGCCCAGAUGACGCCGCGCCCCAUCUCCCGACCUCUCUUGGUCGGGAGCUGAGGGCAAUAAUUCACCGAUCCAGCCAGAUCGGGGGCGGGGCCUGCAAGGGGCCCACAACACCCCACGCACUCUUUGACUAGGGAUGACCGGAGCCGUAACGGGAGCACAAAAUGCGGGGCGUGGCCCCCCUAACCACCCCACGUGGGGACAUGACCUGGCGGAGGGAGCCGACAUUUAACCAGGGGGUCUGAGGGUGAGGCUACACCCAUUGAACCGCCCAGGACGACUUGCAGGAUGAGGCCAUGCGCGGUUGUACGUGCCCCCGUGCCCCGACGUCAUCAUCGCCCUUACCACCAGGGUGACCCUUCAAGAUCAAGGCCAUGACACUAUGCUAGGCAUGGUACGGGCCUGCAGGCAAGGCGGGCCCAACGAUAGGUUUUACGGUGUGGAGUGCCCGUGAGCACACUAAAGUGGUCGGGGGAAAGCCGAGAGAAGCGGCACGCCCCAUCUAGGCCACUGACCAAGGCUUGCCCACUCAUCUCGGGUAAAGACGUCAGCAGCAGCUCUCGUCCCGUUCACUACCACGGGGUUGGCAGACAUGACGGGGGCACACCACGGAGCAGGCUAGGCCGUGCGUAAGUGGCCCACACCACAUAGGAGGCACCGUACAUAGCGUGCGAAGCCCACGACUGGCCACAAGGAUGGAGCCACCGUACAUAGUGUGCAAAGCCCACGACUGGCCAUAAGGAUAGGACAAGGAAGUCCCUUGGUGCAAGGCCACCCUGACCAUGCCACGACCCCCGACCUCUAAGGUCGGGGUCCCCCUCCAUUUAUCAACAUUUUCACCCGAUCCCUAGCUAAUAUAAAAGGAACCGUGCCUUCCUUCUUUCACUCUCGGUCAUUCAUUCACACACACACAUGCGCAUGUGCGCACAUUGCAUGGAUGCUUGCUUGUAAGCACCCCAUUGUAAGCUCAGCGCACUCGAUCCAAGGAAUACGACUCCUGUCAAAACUAGACGUAGGGAUCUUCUCGAACCAGUAUAAUUCCUUGUCUCUUGUGUGCUAGCCAUUGGAAGUCAGGAGAGUGCGGUGUACAAUCACUAGUCUGCGGUAUGUAACACCGACAGUUGGCGCGCUGGGUAGGGGAAGUCGAGUAUUCCUUGCUAGCUUUCGAUAGCUUCCAUUGGUUUCAACACCGGUGGUGGUGCCGCCUCGGGCGACACCAUUCGCUUCAGGAGCCUUGAGUUUGUCAUCAAUGCUUGGGGCGAGAUACAGCCCGUUCCUAGCAUCCUCUUGGCCCAAGCUUUUCGCUUUGGGAACCUGGACUUUGUCGUUGACUCACAAGGUCAACUACAGCUGUGGCGACCCUGCCACCCUGCCCAUCGACGAUGAUACCCUAGCAUGUCAGAUCAAUGCCUACCUUGAGGCAAACCCUGAGCCGAGACCUACCAGUGCACCUUCCAUGCGUUGGCCAACGUCUUCACCUAGCUCUCGGGGGAGGCCCCACUCCCCUCGAUGAGCGAGCUCUGGGACUAUAACACCCAAAUAUUCUAAAAUUUCAACUCAAUAAAAUUCAUCUGAAUUAGGGUCUGUUGUCGCUAGAAAUCACUGAUCGUAUUCCCAGCGUCGGACACACGACCCGGGAGAAUCUGCUUCGCUCCUGUUCGGGUGAAUCGCCCUGGUGCGGUUCGCGCGGCGUGCCAGCCAAUCUGACCUGUCGAUUGGCAAGGAAAUAAACGUAUCAGUUCCCAGGGGUUGCGAUCGGCUAAAGUUCCGAUCUUAGGAAAGCUUAUCAGCGAAUCGGCCGAUUUGCAGUAAUGAAGGAAAUCGGCUAUGAAGCAACCGAUUACCAAGUAACGUUUGUAGAGAAAACUACUGGAGCAAUCUAAACAACGUUAAGAUAGCGACACUAGGAACAGAUCCGAUCGGCUAUGUGGAAAAACGGUAAAUUAAGUAGCAAGAUAUAAUAAAGCCGAAGGUACUAAUUCCAAGCUGGAUAACUGGUGAUAAAACUAGAACUACAGGUAAAACCUAGAAUUCUAGUGAAUAUCGAUAACUAGUGAAUAAAUCUAAACGAAACGACAGCGAUGCGCCCGAAGUUAAAGCUUAGAAAUUACUCGAUAAACGGAACUUACAAGAUUAGCCGGAGGUCAAGUUGAUGCGGCCCCGCCAACCCGUACGAACUCGUGAAAAAGGGAAAAAGUGUUGGCGAAAUCGCUUGCUUGAAAGUAAGUACGAGGAAAAAGUAGUUUGUUGUAUUGAGUUGAUUGUUUUUUUACAGACCCAUAAGGGUGGCUAUUUAUAGCCCAGUACAAACGACUUCUAAUCCAACUAGAACUCUAUCUCUAACUUUAAACAGAAAAACUUCUUAUCCGACUAGAACUCUAUCCCCAAAUCUAAACAGAAAACGAAUAUUUACAAGUACGAUUCGUACUAUCUUUACGUGCUUCAUGGGCUGACCUCCUCUUUCAUCUUCAUAAUCCUUUUUAAGCCCACAUCGGCCCAAUCACCUCUUUAGCAAGGAGGUAACCGAUCAGGACCCACACGUCAAGGGCUCAAACCCAUCCCGACCCUGGGCACUAAGGUCGGACGAGGCGGAGAUCCUCCUUUGGAGGGGUCAGGCGCGUCCGACCCCAAGCCUCUGGGGUCAGGCGAGGCGGAGAUCCUCCUUUGGAGGGGUCGGGCGCGUCCGAUCCCAAGCCUUAGGGGUCGGGCGAGGCGGAGAUCCUCCCUUGGAGGGUCGGGCGCGUCCGAUCCCAAGCCUUAGGGGUCGGGCGAGGCGGAACUCCAAGGAUCAAUCAGCCGAUCCUCGACUGAAGCAUCAAAUGGCGGAUCCUUGACUGUAGCAGCAAUCGGCCGAUUUCCAAUCAUCGCCCUUGUAUCUCGCCGCAUCUUCCGAUCUUUUCUUCUCCUAACGCCGAUUUUACACGUAUCAAAAUCUGGCGUCAACACAUGCCCCCCAGUUUCGGAGUAAAACAUAGUCUUUACUUCGAAAUUCUUUUUUAACUUCACAUCCGAAAUAGACACCACGAAAACAUCCUGAUGAUUGCAAUCUUUUCGAAACGGGCGCCCACGACAACCACUACUCCCGAAAAACUCGAAACGCCGGCGCGGUAAAAAUUCCAUUUUUACCCCUUCUCAGACCUUCUUUAAAUAUCAGCACAUCCCGUACUCCUUACGAGCUCACGUCCUUCUUCUUCAGCGCACAGGCUUUCUUCUUCCUCCAAUACUUUCCUCAAUCCUCCAAUUCCCCAGCUCCUCCUUCUCUUCGCAUUCUUUCCUACUUUUCCAAUGGCGGCACCUUCAGGCACCUCGCAAACGCGCGAAGCUCCAAAAUGACACUUUCGGCGGAGAUUCCAGUGGCGACAGCGACGACUCCAUUGAUGGAAGAAGGAGCUUCAUCGGCGAAAGCUGAAGCCUCUUUUGAGAUCCCAUUGGCGGCUUCAUCCUCUGCAGCUGCACCGGCGACUCUGCCGAUUACGAGGAGCUUCAUUCCGGAGGUUAUUACCGAAACCUUCCCUUAUCGGUAGUGCAUUUAUCUUAGAUCUAUUUCUUACCCUCGCACCCCCUUUUCCUUUUUAGCAGUUAGUCAUCGCAUCACCAUUCGCCUUACAGAAAGCCUCGGCCUUAUCUGCCUCGAGCCCAUGGGGAACCCAGAUCCUACCGACCUGAUCAACUUGGAAACCCAUAGGAUCCCCUUCAAACAAUCAACCAUGGACUUAGAUCAAUGGUCGGGUACCUUUAAAUCUUGGCCGAACGAAACCCCUGGUUGGAGGGAAUGGUACCAGCGGAUAGCCGCCUCCAAGAAGCUCCAAUGGGACGAGCUCAAAAUUGGCCAAUGCAUCGACCUAUCCUUGUCCCAAAUGGAACGGAAUGAACCGUUAGUGAUGGCAGCUUCUUACUUUUGGUCUGAUGCUCUCAACGCAUUCUUGUUUGGACACGGACCCAUGACCCCCACAUUGGCCGAUGUUGUCUUGCUGACCGGCCUGGACAUCACUUCCCCGGAUACUCCUUUCCGCCUUAUAGCCGCAACAUCACAUCGGCUGGACACAAGGGGAAUCGGCGGGUGGAAGGGCUUCAUUAGAUGCAACAAAAGGGCCGGAUCUGUUGAGAACAGAGAGUAUACGGCCUUCCUGAUGAUGUGGCUAGAGAAGCACUUCUUCUAUGGGAGAGCAGCUGGUCCAUCUACCAAUACCCAAGCUCUAGCCGAAGCACUAUCAAUAGGGACUUCGGUUCCUCUCGGAAAGCACUUACUGGGAGCAGUUUACCAACUAGGCCUUCAUCAAAUCGGUAUCAAGCUAUCCCAAGGGGAGCCGAUUGGAAAUCCAGGUGGGCCCUGGUGGUUUAUUAACUUGUGGCUGAACUUGUAUAUGAGUGAGAUUUCUCAGCAGCGAGUGGAAAAUAUGACUUUCCCCAGCGUCGAAUCAGAAGAGAACCUCACUGUCCGACGCCGGUGUAUGUCCUUUGGCGAAGCGGCAUCAGCCUUCAGUGGUUGCUCGUAUUCUGCGACCAAGGUGGCCGAAUACUUUCGGUGCUUCUACAAUGGCUUCAAUGAAGAUGUAACCGUCUGGUUCCCUUAUCGGAGAGAUGACUCAAUCUUCGAGCUCCCUCCUUGUUUCGACUCAACCACCGGCCGAUUCGACGAAGAUCUCACAGAUGAGUUAAUUAAACCAGGGAUCUUGCCGGCCAACUUCUUCUCAGAAAAAGAUGCCCCCACGUAUGAAUUCUACAACCCUUCUGUUGCAGCGCGACAAUUCAUUAUGGGACAACUGCCGAUUCAGGCAUACUUCAUUGGCCGAGCAAAGUUCAGAGAUGAGCUCACCAAGGGCCUUGACUACAGUCGGCUGCGAGAUCGGAUACCAGACUCUAGCACCAUAGAUCUGAAUGACUGGAUAGUAGCUCCCUUUGCUGUCCAACAAUUCAAGUUAUGGUGGGCCGAAUGGAAAUAGUACCUAUUCUGCGCCUCCGCAUCAAUGUACCGCAACCUCUUGGAUCCAGCCAACAUCGAUCCGAACGCCGAGGUAUUUUCCCAUAACCGAUCUUCAUUCCUUCACUGAUGCAUUUAAAUAUGUAUACUAACAUCUUGCUGUUAUUCCAGUCUGAAAAUCGUGUUCCCCCAACACAUAGUUGGAGUGGUCGGCCGAUAGAGGAUCAUCACCCCUACACCAUUCUCCCUCUUAUCGGCUAUGAUGCCCCUUCCGUGGAUGUGAUCGCCGGCCGAUCGAAGCAGGCGCGGAAGAAGGUUACCAAGAAGACCAGCCGCCGAUUGAAGUGGGCUUUGCUAAGACACUGUACCCACUAGGGGACUGUUAUGCUUUGCUUAGACCUAAAACCUAAGCGGGUUACCACUUACUAGCGAAUCUUUGUAAAUGUCUCGUAGCGUCCUAUGGAAUCAUACCUCGGAAGUGUGGUAUGGUGCCUUGCAAAUACUGCAUGGUUGGGUCCAAAGUUCUUUUGAACUUUUACAUGACUUGUGGGUAAAGAAGUCAACCUUUGCAGAGUGUAAAAUGAUCGAUCAGCCAUGCUCAUGGUUAGGAGCGGCCUGGGCCCUCACAUGAUAACACUAUCGAAGGAUGGACCUAAAUCGCUAUUAUUUCAUUCAUGCUUAUGUUAUUGCUUUAUUUAUGUUCAUGUUUAGUUUCAGGUGGUAUAAACUUAUAUUUAGUUAAAUGCUAAUAAAAGUUGACAAACUGAAUUAAAAGCUGAUGCUGAUUAAACCUUAGCCAUACCUUGAUUUGCCUUACACUACACUGUUCCCCAUGACUUGUUGAGUACCUACUAUAAGUGUACUCACCCUUGCAAAACCACUGUUCAGACCAAGUUAAUCUUGAGGAGUAUCCGCAAGACCUUGAGGAGUUCUAGGCAUACAGUUCUUCAGUCAGCUGCCUGCGGUGUCUUUGCUUCCGUUGGAGUCCGCUACGUAAUAAAUUAGAUUUGUGUUUUGUUGAGACUUUCGGUCAUGUAAUAACUUUUUAAUACUCUCUUUAUUCGUUAUGACACUAUCUUUAUUAUUCACUUAUGUCUUACAUGUGUGUAACUUGACCUUGACAUACAUGUAUUCAAGGCACUCAGUUUUGUCCUUAAAACUGGGUGUGACAGAAGUGGCAUCAGAGCCGUGUUGACUAUAGGACGUUAGCCUAGUUGGAAAAUGAUUGCAAUUAAGGAUUAUAAUUAUCUAGUAGCCAUUCCUACUUACUCCUUAAUUUAAAUCUACUUAAAUAAUUUUAACCUUGAUUUUACCUCAUCCUUAUUGUUAUGCUUCUAUAUUAUUCCUUUAUUUUUCUUCUAUCCUUGUUCAUGCAAAAUUUUGUUCUAAAUUAAUUCCAUCUUCUUUCUUCUGUUAGAUGGCUCGCACAAGAAGGACAGCCCGCAAGAGCACCCAUCCUCCGCACCAUGGCAUCACGCAGUGUCACCCCAUGGAGCCUAGAGAAUAGGAG
rnacentral:lncRNA from 1 species